rnacentral:rRNA from 1 species
UACGUAGGGUGCAAGCGUUGUCCGGAAUUAUUGGGCGUAAAGAGCUCGUAGGCGGUUUGUAGCGUCGGCUGUGAAAUCCCGAGGCUCAACCUCGGGUCUGCAGUCGAUACGAGCAAACUAGAGUGUUGCAGGGGAGACUGGAAUUCCUGGUGUAGCGGUGAAAUGCGCAGAUAUCAGGAGGAACACCGGUGGCGAAGGCGGGUCUCUGGGCAACAACUGACGCUGAGGAGCGAAAGCGUGGGGAGCGAACAGG